CACAAUCAACAGAAAAAAUCAAAAAAUUGUAGAGUAAAAAACCAAAAAUAUACAAAGAAAAAUGAAGUAUUGCUCUGAGAAAAGAUGUAAUUGGAUUUUUUGGUUAUUUGUAGGGCAUCAGGAGUGACGGUAGAAAUCUGAGCGAGAUAAACGGAAGAGCGAAAGGGAAGAUCGACGACUUGAACGGUGGAGGCUUACGGCAAGGACUGGAGCUUAAGGCAGUUAGGGUUUGGGAAGAAGAAGAGAGGUUCGUUUGGUAGAGAGAGAAUGAGAAAGAGAGCAAUGAAGAGAGAGAAAGAACAAGGGGUUUAAAUCGGUAGGGUUUUAAGGAGAAUAGGUGUUAAAACGACACUGUUUCGGAGGAUUCAAAAAGCUCUUCAAUAGUGCUUGAAACGGUGUUGUUCGUAGCUGAAAGUGCAGGCUUGAAGCUGUCUACUAGAGAGAGAAUGAGAAAGAGAGAAAUAAAGAAAAAGAGGCUUCAAUGGUACGAUUUUAAGGAGGAUAGGUGCUAAAACGGCACUGUUUCGGAGGAUUCAGAAAGCUCUUCAAUAGUGCUUGAAACAGCGCUGUUUGUAGCUGAAAGUGCAGGCUUGAGGCUGAUCCUUAGCAAGACGGGCGUGGGCAGUGAGUUGGGCAAAGAGAGAAAGAUGAUAGCCCAUUUCAGCAACCUGACCCCUUAGGCAGUCCUUAACCCAAACUUUG
rnacentral:lncRNA from 1 species